UGAAUCUGAUUUAUGACAGGCGAUGUGAAGCUGGCUCCGGUGAAAAGGGAAACAGGUGCAAAUCCUGUACGAACUCGUCACCGUAAUUAGGGAGUGACGGCCGAUAGGUCACUGGGCAACCGGGAAGACGGCCGAAGCAAUGAUAUAUAAGCCGGGAGACCUGCCUUUGUGUUGUACGGAAA
rnacentral:ncRNA from 2 species